rnacentral:lncRNA from 1 species
GUAACAGUAACAUACAAUGAAAACGAUCAGAGUUCAAUAUAACCAGAACAUAAAUAAUUAUCACAGUUUUUCAUCUCUAACUUUACAUUCAUUACAAUGACAAAUAUAUGAUGAAUAUGUAACUAUAUGAUUGGCUUUAGUGUCAUUUUGAAAAAUCCAAACUUACAGCAUAAACUUCUUGUAUAAAACAAAUUUGAGAGGCUGCUAUAAAAGUGACAAAAUCAAGUUAAAGAAGGCCAUUUCGUUGAACCUUUUUGGUGUUUUGCUCAAAAUUAGAAAAUACAAAUAUUCCACAUUAUUAAAAGGGCAACACAUAUUUGGGCCUGAACUUUACAUUUAAAAGACAACUUGGUCUGAGGGAUGUUUAACCUUAGUCAGUAAAAUAGCACUAUGGUUACCUGAAAAAGCAUAAAGAGGAAUGUUCCAUUGUGGAUUCAAGAAUCAAAUCAAAACAUUUCAACUGUUUUAAUUGAUCUAGUUCCUAUUUUCUCCGAUUUGAUAAAAUAAUCCUUUAGGUUAAAAUUGCUAUCUUUCAAUGAACAUGGCUUUCAUAACUACUUAUUGAACACAAAGAAAUCCCAUAUUCAUUUUGUAAUAGAACUAUGUCAAUGUUUGUUAUUGAAUAUAUUGUGUUGUGCUUAAUUUACUUGUCAUUUUAAUUUCACCAUAUAUGAAGUCUAAUGUCUAUCAUUACACAAAUGCAUAUAUACAAAACAAGAUUCCAAUGUGAAUAUUUAAAGACAAAAACAUUGACAAUAGAUCUCAACCAUUUUUACAUCUGGCUGAAAAUUCAAAAAUCAAACCUAUACUAACAAAUGAUAACAAUAUACUCUUAAAUUCUUGAUGAGCUGUGAAUUUUGAUCAUGUGAAAAUAAAAACAGAAAAAAACACUUCAGAAUGGAAUGUUCACAGAAUAAAAAGUUUCAACACUACUCCAAUUAGAUUAUAAAAAAAAUACACUACACUCAAACUUUACUCUCUUUUACACAGAAUAUAGAUCCUAAAUUAGAACAAAAUUAAAUAUUGAUAUUGCUUCAGUCACUGGUGAAUUGUGUAUGAGGUCAUCUUAGUAUUUUUCAUCAUAUCAGACCUUCUUUCAUUCAGCCAGUAUCCUGUGUUAAAAGACUUAAUUUCAAAUUCUAAAUUCUAUUUCUAUAAGACUGGUUGAAUAAAGGCAUCAUAUUUUUUCCUUUGCUCAUUGAACUAUACAAGAAAAUUUGGCUAAGCAAUACACACACCCAAGUUUCCUGUAACUCUAUUUUAAAAUCCUAUUAUAUUUAUUAUACUCAUCAAUAAGCUUAUUAUCUAUAUUAUCACAUAUUUCCAUUCCUGUAAACUCAGAUUGCAAAAUGUAUCAGUUAAUACACUUCCUAGCUAUAUUAUGCCAUUUAUAAAAAAAAGUAUCCACAACUAACAUUCAACUCCAAGCAAUCACCAUGUUCCCAUGUAUUCAUUUACACCAAUACACUAGAUCACCAUAAUUAUUAGUACUGUAACAAGUUUUAAAUCAAAGCACUUAUUACUAAUAAAACUCAGUAAUGAAUAAUUAUCAUCUAGAUACAUUUGUACAUCUACAUUAUAAAUACUGGUACAUACAAUCUAGAUACAUUUGAACAUCUACAUUAUAAAUACUGGUACAUACAAUCUAUUUUAUAUUGAGAAACAUCCUUGAUACAUAACAGCAAGUGUGAGAAUGUCCCCAAGAUAUUUAUGAGGUAUGUCUAGAAAACUCUGUGGGUCACUAAGAUGAGUCAUUCUGGACUCACAAUUCAAUCAUGACAGAAACUAUCAAAAUAAUGUAAUAUAAUUUCGUUAAACAGGGCUUUACUAAAAGGUUGAAUAUAAACCUUUAGAUUUGAAUUCCAUGGUUAAAUCCAACAAUUAUAUGUUCACAAUCUCACCCUUUAUUUCAUGGUAUACACAUUUUUUUCAACAAGAAAAACUUUUGAACCAUUCACAAAUUCACACCCUUAACAGCCUAAAUCUGGAUUCAAUUUACAAACCUCACCCCUCCAUAGCAAUGUCCAUUUUUGUUAUGAAAAAUCAUAGGAAUUAAACAAUGGGAUAUGAACAAUGAUUGUAGAUGUAAAAGACCUUCUGAAAUGAUCACUGAAUUCAAUCCAGUUAUUCAUUGGAUAGAACUAGUGGAAACAGAAAGCCAAAGAAUGAAGACAACAAACAAUAUCUACUGUUCAAUAAGUUGGAAUAUAAUAAAUGAACUUCAAUAUAUGGGAUAUUUUUUUUUAAAUAAUUCCAGUGCAAGUAUUUCCUUCAUUUGUCAUUUAGCCUGAUAAUAGUACAAUAAAUUGGUCACACACAUAUAUAUCAAACAUGUAGAAUUCCUUACUUUUCAGUACAUCUGAAAGUGAAAGGAAUAUGAAUCUUAAAAAUAACCACCAUUUAUA